AAAUGUGAAAAUUUUCCCGCAGCAAAAUGUGUGGUCCGAUGUGCGUGUUUUGCUGAGUUUUAUUUAUUAGGAAUACGUGUGACGGAUUACUGCUCGAAACCACUACAUAGAAGAUAUUAUGGAAAUAAUAAAUAAACUUCUUUGAAUUUAGUUCAGGAAUUAUUCCUCA